GCAGGCCCCAUGCAGGGAGCCCAACAUGGGACUUGAUGCUGGGUCUCCAGGAUCACACCCUGGGCUGAAGGCAGCGCUAAACCCCUGAGCCACCUGGGCUGCCCUAUAACCAAGGUCCUCAUCAAGGAAGUAUGGCCAGUUCUUCAAGGACUCGGCGCUGUUCCAGAUGCUGAGGAUACAGCAGAGGCAAGAAAGACAGAUAAGAACCAUGCCCUCCUGGAAGCCUCAUUCCAUACUACAAACAAUUCUACAUUAUAGCAAAUAAGAACAUGAGCAAGAUAACUGCAAAUAGUGACAUAAGUGACACCUAGAGGCCAGAAAGUUAAAGACCAUCCAGGUAAUAUUUUGAGCACUAGCUCAUAUUAAUUAAAAUUUUUGAGGAGGUAAGUACGAACAUAUAUGUAUUAUCAUCCAGAGGCAUUUGCAUAUAAGACAUAAGGGGUCAAUUAAAAUAUGUAGAUAGUCC
rnacentral:lncRNA from 1 species